GAAAGCUAUUUAGGUAGCGCCUCGUGAAUUCAUCUCCGGGGGUAGAGCACUGUUUCGGCUAGGGGGCCAUCCCGGCUUACCAACCCGAUGCAAACUGCGAAUACCGGAGAAUGUUAUCACGGGAGACACACGGCGGGUGCUAACGUCCGUCGUGAAGAGGGAAACAACCCAGACCGCCAGCUAAGGUCCCAAAGUCAUGGUUAAGUGGGAAACGAUGUGGGAAGGCCCAGACAGCCAGGAUGUUGGCUUAGAAGCAGCCAUCAUUUAAAGAAAGCGUAAUAGCUCACUGGUCGAGUCGGCCUGCGCGGAAGAUGUAACGGGGCUAAACCAU
rnacentral:rRNA from 5 species